UACGGAGGGUGCAAGCGUUAAUCGGAAUUACUGGGCGUAAAGCGCACGCAGGCGGCCUGUCAAGUCGGAUGUGAAAUCCCCGGGCUCAACCUGGGAACUGCAUUCGAAACUGGCAGGCUAGAGUCUUGUAGAGGGGGGUAGAAUUCCAGGUGUAGCGGUGAAAUGCGUAGAGAUCUGGAGGAAUACCGGUGGCGAAGGCGGCCCCCUGGACAAAGACUGACGCUCAGGUGCGAAAGCGUGGGGAGCAAACAGG
rnacentral:rRNA from 1 species